UACAGGGGGUGCAAACGUUGCUCGGAAUUAUUGGGCGUAAAGGGUUCGUAGGUGGCUUGCUAAGUCACACGUGAAAUCCCUCAGCUUAACUGGGGAACUGCGUGUGAUACUGGCGAGCUUGAGUGCAGGAGAGGAACGCGGAAUUCCAGGUGUAGCGGUGAAAUGCGUAGAUAUCUGGAGGAACACCGGUGGCGGAGGCGGCGUUCUGGACUGCAACUGACACUGAAGAACGAAAGCCAGGGGAGCAAACGGG
rnacentral:rRNA from 1 species